GACGAACGCUGGCGGCGUGCUUAACACAUGCAAGUCGAACGGAAAGGCCCUGCUUUUGUGGGGUGCUCGAGUGGCGAACGGGGGAGUAACACGUGAGUAACCUGCCCUUGACUUUGGGAGAACUUCAGGAAACUGGGGCUAAUACCGGAUAGGAGCUCCUGCUGCAUGGUGGGGGUGGGUAAGUUUCGGCGGUUGGGGAUGGACUCGCGGCUUAUCAGCUUGUGGGUUGGGUAGUGGCUUACCAAGGCUUUGACGGGUAGCAGGCCUGGGAGGGUGACCGGCCCCAUUGGGACUGGGAUGCGGCCCGGACUCCUACGGGCGGCAGCGGUGGGGAAUAUUGCACAAUGGGCGGAAGCCUGAUGCAGCAACGCCGCGUGGGGGAUGACGGCCUUCGGGUUGUAAACCGCUUUCGCCUGUGACGAAGCGUGAGUGACGGUAAUGGGUAAAGAAGCACCGGCUAACUACGUG
rnacentral:rRNA from 1 species